rnacentral:lncRNA from 10 species
CCCUGGCUUAUAAAUUAUCUUCAGAAAAUAUUUGAAAGUGGUAACUAUUAGUACAGACUGUUUUGUUCAUUUGUUUGUUUGUUUGCAGCUGAUACAUUCCUCAAUGGCAAAACCUUUACCUCCACCUCGGUUUUUAUUCUCCCUAAUGUGUUCCACUUCCAAAGGUAACUAACAAAGACACCCUAUAUUCCGAAAUCUCCCUCCUCCCCCAUCUGCCAACUGGAUGCUGAGACCCAGGGUGGCCUUGCGGCUGAUGUGUUAAGGACAGCAGUGCCUCUGUCAGCCUACAUCCCUGAAUGACUCCAUGGACACAAACACCCACUCACCACUCCCACUUUGGCCAGCUAGGUACAAAUACAUGGAACUUUCUAUGAGCAGGUAACAAACAUCCUUUAUGUUAAGUCACUGAGAUUCUGGGAUGCCUCUAUUAAAGAGCUAAUGUCACCUUAAUUACAAUUGUAAAUUAAA